AUCCAAUUGGCGAGUCCAAAAUAGAAUGAAACACGCGUCCUGGAU
rnacentral:hammerhead_ribozyme from 1 species